rnacentral:rRNA from 1 species
GAGUUUGAUCCUGGCUCAGAUUGAACGCUGGCGGCAGGCCUAACACAUGCAAGUCGGGCGGUAGAGAGAAGCUUGCUUCUCUUGAGAGCGGCGGACGGGUGAGUAAUGCCUAGGAAUCUGCCUGGUAGUGGGGGAUAACGCUCGGAAACGGACGCUAAUACCGCAUACGUCCUACGGGAGAAAGCAGGGGACCUUCGGGCCUUGCGCUAUCAGAUGAGCCUAGGUCGGAUUAGCUAGUUGGUGAGGUAAUGGCUUACCAAGGCGACGAUCCGUAACUGGUCUGAGAGGAUGAUCAGUCACACUGGAACUGAGACACGGUCCAGACUCCUACGGGAGGCAGCAGUGGGGAAUAUUGGACAAUGGGCGAAAGCCUGAUCCAGCCAUGCCGCGUGUGUGAAGAAGGUCUUCGGAUUGUAAAGCACUUUAAGUUGGGAGGAAGGGCAGUAAAUUAAUACUUUGCUGUUUGACGUUACCGACAGAAUAAGCACCGGCUAACUCUGUGCCAGCCGCCGCCGUAA